rnacentral:tRNA from 1 species
UAUAGGUAGCACGAAGAAUUUUGAGUUCUUAAGAGUAGGUUCAAUUCCUAUUGUCCUAG